UGCCGGGCCCUGAGCAAGUGGCUUCAUGAACCCCGUGACGUUGGCCAUGGAGAUAAGACCACUGGGUGAUGGUUUAAGGAAGAUAACGUGUAAAGGGCUAAGGACUGUCGGUGGAAAUCAGGGGUGCAGGAGAAAUGGAUAAACAGCCAGAGGUCAACUCGGACUUUGUACAUAGGACAUGGUGCCAGGGCCCUGCCAGGAAGUGCAGAUCGAAGCUAG
rnacentral:lncRNA from 1 species